rnacentral:rRNA from 1 species
CCUACGGGCGGCAGCAGUGGGGAAUAUUGCACAAUGGGGGAAACCCUGAUGCAGCGAUGCCGCGUGGAGGAAGAAGGUUUUCGGAUUGUAAACUCCUUUUAUCAGGGACGAUAAUGACGGUACCUGAAGAAAAAGCUCCGGCUAACUACGUGCCAGCAGCCGCGGUAAUACGUAGGGAGCGAGCGUUGUCCGGAAUUACUGGGUGUAAAGGGAGCGUAGGCGGGACGGCAAGUCAGAUGUGAAAACUGAGGGCUCAACUUUCAGAAUGCAUUUGAAACUGCUGUUCUUGAGUGAAGUAGAGGAAGGGGGAAGUCCUAGGGUAGGGGGGAAAGGGGUAGAUAUUAGGAGGAACAUCGGGGGCGAGGGCGAUUUACUGGGCUUUUACUGACGCGGAGGUUCGAAAGGGUGGGGAGCAAACGGGAUUAGAGACCCGAGAAGUC